rnacentral:rRNA from 1 species
GACGAACGCUGGCGGCGUGCUUAACACAUGCAAGUCGAACGGAAAGGCCCUGCUUUUGUGGGGUGCUCGAGUGGCGAACGGGUGAGUAACACGUGAGUAACCUGCCCUUGACUUUGGGAUAACUUCAGGAAACUGGGGCUAAUACCGGAUAGGAGCUCCUGCUGCAUGGUGGGGGUUGGAAAGUUUCGGCGGUUGGGGAUGGACUCGCGGCUUAUCAGCUUGUUGGUGGGGUAGUGGCUUACCAAGGCUUUGACGGGUAGCCGGCCUGAGAGGGUGACCGGCCACAUGGGGACUGAGAUACGGCCCAGACUCCUACGGUAGGCAGCAGUGGGGAAUAUUGCACAAUGGGCGGAAGCCUGAUGCAGCAACGUCGCGUGCGGGAUGACGGCCUUCGGGUUGUAAACCGCUUUCGCCUGUGACGAAGCGUGAGUGACGGUAAUGGGUAAAGAAGCACCGGCUAACUACGUG